GCGUCACCCUCUAACCGCAUGACAUGAGCUUAAAAAGACGCCAGCAAACCAGCUCCUCACUCCAACACACAAGCUUGUUUCUGGCUGCUGCACAGGCGAGGUUUGACUCAUUCUCCGCAGCAUCUUGUCCUCAAGGGUGACCAGCAGUGAGUAAACAGAGAUACAAUCCCAAAGCAAGGCAUGGCACGCAAGCUGUUUCUAGUCAUUGUGCUCUUUGUUCUGGUGGGACAAUUGUGUGGGCAGAUGUCAGAUGACGAAGAAAACCAGAUCAUAAUGGCCGAGCUUGAUAAAGUCGCAGAUGAAAUGCAAGAUGGCAACGCACUGGUGCGUGACAAGCGUUUCAUAUUUGGCACACUUGUUAAAUUGGUGAAAAAAGUUGUCCACGGUGUUAAAAGUCUUAUAGGCUAGCACCACCACAUUAGUGCCCAUCACUUGACCACUGAUAUACACCAGUGAGCCAACAGAGAAUUUUGCACACAUUCAGAUGAGAUUCUGUGAAAUGAUCAAAACACAGUUCUCCUGUGUGUGAAGAAAUAAAGAAUUUCAGCAUUUA